rnacentral:rRNA from 1 species
CUCCUUUGAAGUUAGCGGCGGACGGGUGAGUAACACGUGGGUAACCUACCUAUAAGACUGGAAUAACUUCGGGAAACCGGAGCUAAUGCCGGAUAACAUUUGGAACCGCAUGGUUCUAAAGUAAAAGAUGGUUUUGCUAUCACUUAUAGAUGGACCCGCGCCGUAUUAGCUAGUUGGUAAGGUAACGGCUUACCAAGGCAACGAUACGUAGCCGACCUGAGAGGGUGAUCGGCCACACUGGAACUGAGACACGGUCCAGACUCCUACGGGAGGCAGCAGUAGGGAAUCUUCCGCAAUGGACGAAAGUCUGACGGAGCAACGCCGCGUGAGUGAUGAAGGUUUUCGGAUCGUAAAACUCUGUUAUUAGGGAAGAACAAAUGUGUAAGUAACUGUGCACAUCUUGACGGUACCUAAUCAGAAAGCCACGGCUAACUACGUGCCAGCAGCCGCGGUAAUACGUAGGUGGCAAGCGUUAUCCGGAAUUAUUGGGCGUAAAGCGCGCGUAGGCGGUUUCUUAAGUCUGAUGUGAAAGCCCACGGCUCAACCGUGGAGGGUCAUUGGAAACUGGGAAACUUGAGUACAGAAGAGGAAAGUGGAAU